rnacentral:rRNA from 1 species
AUGCUUGUUAAGACAAACAAGCAUGAACAAUAUCAUAUUGUUUACAAGCUUCUUAAGUUGGUAUUGAUUCUGCCAAUAGCUACUGCUAGUGUUGAAAGGGUAUUCUCUUCAAUGAGCUAUGUGAAGAAUAAGUUAAGGAACAAAAUGGGUGAUGAAUAUUUGACAAUUGCUUGGUUACAUUUGUUGAGAGAGAAUUUUUGA